ACAACAUUCGGACUGUCGGUCUACCGAGCAAUAUUACACGUUUGUUGGAAGAUCUUCCCUUUUGUCGU
rnacentral:pre_miRNA from 1 species